CCUUGCGUGCUAGUCAAAAUUAAUUAAGUGUGAUUCAAUUAAGAUAAUACAUAAUUAGUGCAAAUCUAAUCCCAAUUAAGUGUGGUGUGCUGGAAGUAUUUUAGUGUGUAUGUGUGCAUGUCAUUGUUGUGCUGGAGCUCAAAGAAGAUGUGCAAGUGUGUGCACACACAUGGGACAUUAUUAAGAAGUGAGGUGUGUGUUAUAUAUGCGAGUCAAGAAGAAGAGAGGGUUGCUAAAAAAAAUAAAAAAGAAAAAGGGGGAGCUCAUUCUUCAGUCCUUCAUUUAUGCUGGAAAAAGUUUAGAAAGAGAGUGGAUUUGAGAGCUCAAGAGUGUAGAGAGAGAAACCCACAUUGUGUUGGGAAUUGAAGGAAGAACAAGAGGAAUUGGAGAGAAAUCACUUCUACUUUAUGAAUUAAAACUUAAGAGUAACAGGUGUAUGAGCAUUGAUCGAGUUGGUGGAUUAAUAAGGACAAGCAAGACGGCUCAUGGAAAGAUUUGGGAUAAGUUUGAGGCAUGAGAAAAAAACGCAUAAAGUGUGUCACCUCUCAAAAUUUAAAGGAGAUAAAUUGUCCCUGGUUCACAUGGAUUGCAUGGAACUAUUCGACAUUGUGAAGUGCAUCAAGUGUAUCGGUUUAAUCAGUCGAAUGGUUUAUUUUAUCGGGUAUUUUGUAUAUAUCAUUUAAAAAAUGAUAAUUAAGUUGAUCCGAUAA